rnacentral:rRNA from 1 species
AACCCCAACUUCUGAAUGUUGACCUCGGAUCAGGUAGGAAUACCCGC